rnacentral:rRNA from 1 species
GAGACCCGCGCCCACAGUUGCCAGCGUACUCUCCGGAGUGACGGGUACACUGUGGGGACCGCCGCUGCUAAAGCGGAGGAAGGAAUGGGCAACGGUAGGUCAGUAUGCCCCGAAUAUCCCGGGCUACACGCGAGCUACAAUGGUUGGUACAAUGGGUAUCUACCCCGAAAGGGGAUGGAAAUCUCCUAAAGCCAAUCUUAGUUCGGAUUGAGGGCUGCAACUCGCCCUCAUGAAGCUGGAAUCCGUAGUAAUCGCGUUUCAACAGAACGCGGUGAAUAC